UACGUAGGGGGCAAGCGUUGUCCGGAUUUAUUGGGCGUAAAGAGCGUGUAGGCGGCCAGGUAGGUCCGUUGUGAAACUCGAGGCUCAACCUCGAGACGCCGAUGGAAACCAUCUGGCUAGAGUCCGGAAGAGGAGAGUGGAAGUUCCCGGUGUAGCGGUGAAAUGACGCAGAUAUCGGGAAGAACACCCGUGGCUAAGGCGGCUCUCUAGUACGGUACUGACGCUGAGACGCGAAAGCGUGGGGAGCGAACAGG
rnacentral:rRNA from 1 species